rnacentral:tRNA from 1 species
AGAAAUUUAGGUUAACAAAACCAAGGGCCUUCAAAGCCCUAAAAGAGAGUACCCAAACCCUCAAUUUCUG